CUGAUCACUGUACAAUGAUGAGUUGCAUCAUGCAAUACCCAAAUAUUCUUAGGAAGAGCCGGAAAAGGCAUGGCGAGGUCGUCAAACCUGGCCGUCGAUGCUUAGAAAUGGGAAUCUGACAUCUGCAAUCAC
rnacentral:snoRNA from 1 species